AGAUGGCGGCAGCGCGCUCAGAGAACCGGAAGGACCGGAAGAGAGGAGGAGUAAAGAAACCGAACCGGGACUUCAGCGGGUUCGUUCUGGGUCACAGUCACAGGAUGGUGGUCUUCAGCAGACGGGACCUGGACAGGAUCUACUCCGUGGUCUUGCUGGCCGUGGUGGUCUUGUCCUGGUCUUAUGUGAUCUACGCCAGCAGGAUCGCGUCCCAUUGGCUGCUGGAGAGGCGGACCGCCCUCCUCCAGCAGGACUGACCGCCAGCGCAGGCGAGUGUUCGCCGUCUUCAUGCUGCGCUAACUCGCUAUCGGCAGCUCCGUCAGAGAGAAAACCAGAACACAUUUUCACUGACAUCAACAAGUUUACAUUGACUGAUGGACCGCUUCAAGAGACCGGACCUGCUGAACCACAUCGUUACAAUGCUGCAGUAGUGGACCGAACCUGACGGACCUCCGAGAGCCUCGGGGGGGCGACAGGGUCCGAGUACUGAGGAGGAAUAACGACACAAACACACUUUCUGUUUCAGCUCCUCUCUGAUUGUAUGUGUAAUAAACGACUAUGUGUUAUUGAUCACAUCUGUAAUGAUGUCGCACAGUGGAGGUGAAACUGAGUUUUAAAGGUUAUAUAUGAUAUUCACUGCCACUAGAUGUCGCACUAGAGCACCACAACAGACUCCUUUAACAGAAACUGAUUUUACCCAGCAGACAAUCACUUCAAAAAACAAAAUAAAACUCACAAAACCCGUCAGUUAGUAUUUACAACAAUCACAGACAAAAUAAAUCCUUAAUUUACACAUUUAGAUGUUUAAAAAAGCCCCAAACAGGCUGCUAUAUUAUCUAUUUUGGGGUUUUCAGACCAAAAGCUAUUUACUUCGUCCUCUUCCUCCUAGAGAAUCGAUCGGAUCGACUUCAUAUUUGGUCAGCACGCUGUAAAGACAUUCGCGAUGAACAUUUAUCAAAAUCUUGAGGUUUUGUUUAACGGCGUGUCGUCAAACGUUGGUGUUUGCCAUGAAAAAGGAACCCCAAACCCAAACUUACAGGGUUAUUACUUACAGUGUACAUUCUCCAAUCGGCCCCGCUCUGAACACACCUACAUACCAAUAUUCAGUCACAGUCGGCGCCACCUACUGUCAGCCUUGUAUGGUGAAUGUGAUCUGAUGAUGUUCUGACACAUUCGCCUGUUCAUCACUGCAGCUUCAGUCUAUAUUUGUACAUUAUGAUGUAUUAAAGUGUUUUUUUCAGUUGA